UCAUCAUGGCAAACAUGUGGCCAUCGCGCGGCUGCCCCGCUUGUCUCGUCUAGGAUCUGCGCCGAAUUGGAGCAUCGUCUGUGCUUGCAUUGUUGAAUGAACAAUGCAAGCGUAUUGCACUGCCCGUUGGUGAUAGUGUGAGGCAGCAAGUCAUCUGGCUGCUUGUAGUGGCCACCACUGCAGUGUGUGCAGUGGCAUCGUGAAAUGUGAGGCAGCGAGUCAUCUGCCCCAGUUUGGUUGCUGCAUGUGGUGGUGCGUGUAGUGAUGUUGUGAGUCGCCAUCUCUGAGAGUGAGCAAGCGUGCUGCACUUGCCCGUUGGUGGAUUUGUGAGGCAGCAAGUCAUCUGCCCCAGGUUAGUUGCUGCGUGGAGUGGUGCGUGCGGUGAGCAUCGUCGCCGUCUGUGUGAGUGAGCUGGGCACUGUACCACAAGUGCUUCGUGGGACAGUGUAGAUGCAUCAGUUAUGUUUGUGAGUGAAUCGCGGAAACAAUUGCCGAUGGCCUUUUGUUGU